UACGUAGGGACCAAGCGUUGUUCGGAAUUACUGGGCGUAAAGGGCGCGUAGGCGGGAUGGCAAGUCGGUCGUGAAAUCCCUCGGCUCAACCGAGGAACGUCGAUCGAUACUGCUGUUCUUGAGGAUUGCAGAGGAGACUGGAAUUCCCGGUGUAGCGGUGAAAUGUGUAGAGAUCGGGAGGAACACCGGUGGCGAAGGCGGUUGCCUGGAGCUUUGCUGACGCUGAGGCGCGAAAGCGUGGGGGGCGAGCCGG
rnacentral:rRNA from 1 species